CAUAAAAAUGCUCAGUUAUUCAUGUUGAUUAUCUAUCGUGCACUUGGGAAUAAAACCAAAAAGAGAAACGUAUUUGUUUGGUGAAGUGGUUUUAUUAUUAGUACCAGUCGAAUUCUGUUGGACCCCUCAGAUUGUAUCAUCUUACAUUAAGGGAGGUGUUACAACAUAUAUGUUUAUAUUUAGUACAGUAUUGUUAACUGUCUUGAGGAAGCCUUGAGAAACAAGCAUUUCAUCAUGUGGUUAGACUGACCAUAAACAAACCCGAAAUUGAUAACGAAAAAGCCUCAAGAAUCGUAAUCCAAAGCACUAUGCGCACACACAUGGGAAGUCUAACAAAAAUGUAAUUUGUAUUGAAACACUUUAUACAUACAGACUCCGAAGUCAUCCUAUCCAGAUAACAUAAAUAUUGGACCCAGAACCGUUCGGGUCCCGGGUCGGACCUCUGGUUUCGAGUACGGUUGGAUCCAUGAAGACCUACAGUAUGUGGUAUAAUUCUUAGGGAAUUAUUUCCACAGAUCUACCUGUCAGCUGGAGUCCUUUCACAACCACAUCCUGAUGUAUGCAAGUAAGCGAUUCAGUCUCUCGCCGUUGGUUUAUGAGGCAAGGACUCAGCCCUUGACUGCAACCACCAUAUAAACAGACCACCACAGCUUAACAAAGAUGGCAAAAUGAUCUUCCAUCGACAAUACCAAAAGAAAUCCGGGAGAUGAACUGUCUACACCUUGAAAGUUGCAAAGGACUACAGCUACAUCCCUGAUUUUCAGGCUGCCAUUUUGAGGAAACGACUGCAUUCUGUGAGGGGGUUGCCAAGGCAGAGGAUUCUACGUCCUGAUGACCCUAGAACACUCUGCCUCCUUCCAAAUGUUCCUCCUCCAUCCAUAGACACCAUUAUUGAGUCCCACGUCAGUAGAGGCCUAGGGACCGGCACUACACAGCAAGAGACAACGGAGUAGCAAUGAAUCCUUGUUCAUCUGAACCCAAGGCCUUGUCAAAUGAGCAAUCUGGAAUAUAUUUUUUGAGAGGAGACCUAUAUAGCAAAGCUGUUUAUGAAAAUUAUCAACACAUGAGAGGUGUAAAUAAAUAGGAUGCAAGUUUAAUGUUCAACUCCAGAACAAUUUUUAUUUUUACUUCAAAAAUAUAUUCUUUGGAAAUCUAAAUGUCUUAUGUCUGCUCCUCUUGCUAUUACUUAUGUGCAGUAUGCUAUUAAGAAGGCAGUAAGGAACAAUAUCACAAUUUACAUUUUGUAUACAGUGUAUAUAUCAGGCAUGGCUCGUGGAUUUAAUUUGGGAAGCAGAGCAAAUAUUACUGACUGGCUUCCACCAACCUAUUGUGCAAAAUGUGUUAUAUGUGCUCAGCUUCAUCAAUUAAGAUUCCCAACUCAUGCCUGAGAGAUAGAUAUAGAAAAAUAUAUAGAAAGAGAGAAACUAAGUAAAAAUAAAAAUCAACAUGAAACACAAGUGACAACAGCAGUGAGGUGGCUUUAAAAACCACAGUAGUUAUAACACUGUUUCUAUGAAACCAGUGUAUCUGCCAAAUGGGUCUGGGUAUUUAUCCCGUAUUCUGUACACACAACAGCUGGGGAUGACAACACGGUUUCCCGCACCAAGGGAACCAUAAUGCCACAAGACAAAAUUCCUGUAAGUGGCACAGCGGUAUUCCCAGUUGUCAUCCCCAGGAAGCUGUGUGUCAUGGAGAGCAUAAAUGUCGUUCCUGAGCCGCCGUGCUAAGCGCAGUACAUGCUCAUCUAAAAUAUACAAUGACAUGUGGGGAAUCUACUGAUGCAGGUGGCCUCCAUCAUCCCACAACAUUUAUUCUCCAAGUCAGUUCCCAUUUCCCUGCAUCUUGAACAGCUGCACCAUCCAGGCACACAUUGUAAUGGUAUUUCUGUUCCCUGAGCAGCUGGCUGGAGCACAUCAAAGAUGAGGCCAGGUUCUCUGUCCAUGACUCUGACUAGGAGUCUACGAGCGUCAUCUGGAUCCAUGUUCCAGAUCUGCUCCUGAAAAUAACAAUGUUAAGAAUUUAACAAAUGUAUUCCUAAUUCUGAAAUGAUUUCUUCCAGUAACCAUCACACUACAAAUUAUCCAAACUGUUUCUAUCCUUCACACGGUCUUGUCUCUCACUUUGUAUUUUUUGAUAAAGGAAGUUUAAUCUUAUCCUGACACUUGCAGUAUUCCCUAAGAUACCUGGAUCUGUGACCUUCUUUCCUCUUGCAGCCUCUCCACCCUCACUCUGUCCUCUUCAGAGAUUCCAAGUGCUGCUCUAGUCCCUCUUCCUCUAGCUGCCUGUCUACCCCUGGUUGCACUGCUGGGUCCUGCAGUUCUUCCUGCUCUUGUCGCGCCUCUCCUUCCACCUGCCAUCCUUCCUCUUGCUGCUUUGUUCCCAACAGCAGCUCCACUCACUUCUGCUUUACCGCUGAUUUCGACUGCUACACUUGUUUCUGCUCCACUGCUUGCUGCUGUUCUGCAUGCUCUGGCCAUUCCCCUUCCUCUACCCACUGCUCUUCCUCUUCCACUCACUCCAGCUGAUCUGCUUGCCCUUCCUGUCCCUUUCCUACUUCCUCUUGCAGUCACUCUUCCAAAUAACGAGUCCUUCUCUUCAUGCCGGGGACUCCAUGUCUCAUCACUAAUUGCUAAUGAUGCUAUUGAGGCAUCCGGUGAGGAGCCAUCUGUCUCUUCCUGUAAUAAUUCACAUGUCAACAGAAACACAAACAUCUUGAGAUACUGAAAAGAUAUUAAAGACAUUUAUAAUGUGAUUUAUGUUUUAAA